UACGUAGGGGGGCAAGCGUUGUCCGGAUUUAUUGGGCGUAAAGAGCGUGUAGGCGGCCAAGCAGGUCCGCUGUGAAAAACUCGAGGCUCAACCUCGAGAGGUCGGUGGAAACCGUUUGGCUAGAGUCCGGAAGAGGAGAGUGGAAUUCCCGGUGUAGCGGUGAAAUGCGCAGAUAUCGGGAAGAACACCCGUGGCGAAGGCGGCUCUCUGGGACGGUACUGACGCUGAGACGCGAAAAGCGUGGGGAGCGAACAGG
rnacentral:rRNA from 1 species